UACGGAGGAUGCGAGCGUUAUCCGGAUUUAUUGGGUUUAAAGGGUGCGCAGGCGGCGUGUCAAGUCGGCGGUAAAAUGUCGGGGCUCAACCCCGGCCGGCCGUUGAAACUGGCGUGCUCGAGUUGGAGAGAAGUAUGCGGAAUUCGUGGUGUAGCGGUGAAAUGCAUAGAUAUCACGAAGAACCCUGAUUGCGAAGGCAGCAUACCGGCUCCACACUGACGCUGAGGCACGAAAGCGUGGGUAUCAAACAGG
rnacentral:rRNA from 1 species